CCUACGGGGGGCAGCAGUGGGGAAUAUUGGACAAUGGGGGCAACCCUGAUCCAGCCAUGCCGCGUGUGUGAAGAAGGCCCUCGGGUUGUAAAGCACUUUCAGUGAGGAAGAACGCCUGGUGGUUAAUACCCAUCAGGAAAGACAUCACUCACAGAAGAAGCACCGGCUAACUCCGUGCCAGCAGCCGCGGUAAUACGGAGGGUGCGAGCGUUAAUCGGAAUUACUGGGCGUAAAGCGCGCGUAGGUGGCUUGAUAAGCCGGUUGUGAAAGCCCCGGGCUCAACCUGGGAACGGCAUCCGGAACUGUCAAGCUAGAGUGCAGGAGAGGAAGGUAGAAUUCCCGGUGUGGCGGUGAAAUGCGUAGAGAUCGGGAGGAAUACCAGUGGCGAAGGCGGCCUUCUGGACUGACACUGACACUGAGGUGCGAAAGCGUGGGUAGCAAACAGGAUUAGAUACCCGAGUAGUC
rnacentral:rRNA from 1 species